AGAAAACUGCUCUAUAGUGUUUUUCACAGCCUAAUUUGCAUUAUUUCAUCAUAUGGCAUGUUUUUACGACAUGUUGAAAAAAUGUCAUUUUUUUCGACAUACUAUACUAUGGCGUUUUUUUGGACAAAAUUCAUGAUGAUUUUGUUUUUCAAAGAAAAAGUGCUGUACAGUGUUUUUCACGGCCAAAUUUGCAUUAUUUCAUCAUAUGGCAUGUUUUUUAAAAAAUAUUUUAUCUUUCCAUUUUUCAACUCUUGUUAGACAGUGGCUGUGAAGAUAGACAACAGGGCUGAAGAAGAGUGAAUGAAAGACACGUGGCAAAGGCAAUGAGCGUGCAUCGAUCCCGGGCAGCUCCAUCAGAGACCAGCCUCUGUACAUGGGUUGCCCGCUUAACCCGUUGAGCUAUACGGGCGUCCUCAUAUGGCGUGUUUUUACGACAUGUUGAACAAAAUUCAUGAUGAUUGUUUUCAAAGAAAAGUGCUGUAUAUUGUUUUUCACGGCCUAAUUUGCAUUAUUUCAUCAUAUGGCAUGUUUUUACGACAUGUUGAAAAAAAUGUCAUUUUUUUCGACAUACUAUACUAUGGCGUUUUUUUUGGACAAAAUUCAUGAUGAUUUUUUUAAAAAACAAGAAAACUGCUCUAUGGUGUUUUUCAUGGCCUAAUUUGCAUUAUUUCAUCAUAUGGCAUGUUUUAAAAACAUUUUAUUUUUGCCUUUUUCAACAGUGAAGAUGGACAGGCAACGGGGCUGAAGGGAAGACACACAGCAAGGAUCGAACCCAGGCAGCUAUAUCAGAGACCAGCCCCUGUACAUGGGUCGCCCGCUUAACCCGUUGAGCUAUACGGGCGCCCUCGUAUGAUAUUGAAGAUGGACAGGCAACGGGGCUGAAGGGAAGACACACAGCAAGGAUCGAACCCAGGCAGCUACAUCAGAGACCAGCCCCUGUACAUGGGUCGCCCGCUUAACCCGUUGAGCUAUAUGGGCGCCCUCAUAUGAUAUUGAAGAUGGACAGGCAACGGGGCUGAAGGGAAGACACACAGCAAGGAUCGAACCCAGGCAGCUACAUCAGAGACCAGCCCCUGUACAUGGGUUGCCCGCUUAACCCGUUGAGCUAUACGGGCGCCCUCAUAUGAUAUUGAAGAUGGACAGGCAAUGGGGCUGAAGGGAAGACACACAGCAAGGAUCGAACCCAGGCAGCUAUAUCAGAGACCAGCCCCUGUACAUGGGUCGCCCGCUUAACCCGUUGAGCUAUACGGGCGCCCUCGUAUGAUAUUGAAGAUGGACAGGCAACGGGGCUGAAGGGAAGACACACAGCAAGGAUCGAACCCAGGCAGCUAUAUCAGAGACCAGCCCCUGUACAUGGGUUGCCCGCUUAACCCGUUGAGCUAUACGGGCGCACUCAUAUGAUAUGUUUGUACAACAUGUUGAACAAAAUUCAUGAUGAUUGUUUUUCAAAGAAAAAUGCUGUAUCGUGUUUUUCACGGCCUAAUUUGCAUUAUUUCAUCAUAUGGUAUGUUUUUAUGACAUGUUUAAAAAAUGUCAUUUUUUUCGACAUACUAUACUAUGGCGUUUUUUUGGACAAAAUUCAUGAUGAUUGUUUUUCAAAGAAAACUGCUUGAUGUUUUCACAGUCUACUUUACACUAUUUCAUCAUAUGGCAUGUUCUUUUUUAGAAGUAUUUUAUUUUUGCCUUUUUUGAUAGUGGUAGUGAAGAUAGACAGGCAACAGGGACGAAGAAGAGUUGGUGAAAGACCUGCAGCAAAGGCCGUGAACAAGGAUUGAACCCGGGCCACUCCGUCUAAGACCAGCCCUUGUACACGGGUCGCCUGCUUAACCCGUUGAGCUAUACUGGCGCCCUCAUUUGGUAUGUUUGUACAACAUGUUGAACAAAAUUCAUGAUUUUUUUUUUCAAAGAAAAGUGUUGUCUUAUGUUUUCCACGGCCUAAUUUGCAUUAUUUCAUCAUAUGGCAUGUUUUUACAUGUUGAAAAACGGCAUUUUUGGACGACGUGCUAAACUGACGUUUUUUUCAAACGUGAAUCUAAAUAUACUUCUGUGUCAUGUAUGUUCUGUAAAGGAAUAACUCAACAUUCUGGCUCACCUGUGUCUGCCUGAAAAUAACCUCCAGUCCAAAACCUCACAGCAGAUUCUUCAUGUUUAAACUCGUGCUGAUUAAAUAAACAA